CUUAAGUUACAGAGAUGUGCACCCCAGUGCGCAUGUCCAUUUCCGGUUAGCGCGCAUCUACCGCUACCGCCAAACUCAUUCAAACGCAAGAGGUCAAAGUCGUGCACCUGGCUACAGUGCUCUCACCGACGGCUGACUCCAACGUUGAUUUCGCCUGCCUUAGGUGGUGCCUGUGACAGUGAAGUUGGUGGCAGUUGGAAAAGAGGUACCCUUGGUACCAGAUAACUGUCUUACCCAGCCAGACCAACACAGUCGUCCCACUGCACCUCCUUCCUCAUUGCUGCUUCACUGAUAAGAAGCUUUUCUCAGCAGACUGGACCAAAAUCCUUCUGAGACGAAUAUAGACAACUGUUUGGUGCCAAUCGCUCGAUCGCCUCUUCACAAACCAAUGACAUCACCACAGCACGCACUGCUGUCCUGCAGUCUCUGCCCCUGUAUCUUGGAGAUUAUUCCAAAGAAAUUCUUCCUCAGCUGCUCAGAUUCAGACUCUGCAUGUGGCUUCACCCAGCUGCCUGUUGGGGUUCUGACAAUCAUCCUUGAAGGAAACAUUGUCAUGGAUGAGAUUCCCACAACCUCUCAAGCACUUUGUCUUCUGUUCAGCUUAAUGUAUGCACCCCAUCUGGAUUACCCCAAAGGGAAGAGAGCUCAUGAUUAUACGUUGUGAUUAAAGUGCUGCGAUGCAGACAGAAGGGCUGAAUGAGCAGAGCGAAGCCGCAUUGACGAGCUGUUCUGAAGCGAGAAGUCGACGAUGGAGCACAGACGAACAGCACAGAAGCCCGGUUUGUCCACUGCUCCGAGUGCAACGGCAACAUGAUGGUCAGAAUCCAGCAAGCUCUCCUGCAGACACACAUACAGGCAUCAUCAAAUGCAAGGUCUGUGUCUAGAAGCUGCAGGGGUGACAUCGUCAGAGGUCAGCAGGAAGUAAUAAGUCUCAUCACUGCCCUCUGAUCGAGCCAAUCAGCACCCAGUGAGGAAGAGGACACCCGGUCAACAGCACUGCUGCUCAUCUCCUCUCUCUGUUAACACCUGGAGCUCUGAGCGUGUCCAUUUGUAUAUAAGACAAAUGUGACAAAUUGAUUCAGUUCACUUGAGGUCAGUGCAUUCACUGAUCACAAGUGAUGGUGUGUGUCGCUGUUCUUGAGGACAUACAGAGAGACGGCCAGCUUCACUGAGGUGUGUUAGUGCAGCUCUACAUUGUUAUGCGAUUAAACACGUUUAAACUUUCAAAACAUGAGACUUUAUUGUGAGAACUUUCUUUUUAUAGAAAUUUGCCUAACAGGAGCUUCUGUUUAAUGUGAGGUUAUAAUAUAUUAUAGUCUCAAAACCCAAAGGCUUCAUUUACUCUCAUAAAUUACAAAGAAAAGAAAAAAUCCUUAAAGCAUUAAUCGAUUACCAAUAAUCAAUAUCAGAAUAGUUGCCUAUUGAUAUUCCUUUGAUCAAAUAAUCAAGUAACUGAGUAAUCUUCAGGGCUCUAAUCUACUUUCUGUUCCCUCAUGUUUUGGACAGCAUUAAAUUAUUCCAUUGAUGAUAACAAUAACACAUUCAUUAAAAUCUUUGACUUUGGUUUA